GACGAACGCUGGCGGCGUGCCUAAUACAUGCAAGUCGAGCGAAUGGAUGGGAGCUUGCUCCCUGAAGUUAGCGGCGGACGGGUGAGUAACACGUGGGCAACCUGCCUGUAAGACUGGGAUAACUUCGGGAAACCGGAGCUAAUACCGGAUACAUUCUUUCUUCGCCUGAAGAAAGAUGGAAAGAUGGUUUCGGCUAUCACUUACAGAUGGGCCCGCGGCGCAUUAGCUAGUUGGUGAGGUAACGGCUCACCAAGGCAACGAUGCGUAGCCGACCUGAGAGGGUGAUCGGCCACACUGGACUGAGACACGGCCCAGACUCCUACGGGAGGCAGCAGUAGGGAAUCUUCCGCAAUGGAUGAAAGUCUGACGGAGCAACGCCGCGUGAGCGAAGAAGGCCUUCGGGUCGUAAAGCUCUGUUGUUAGGGAAGAACAAGUACCAGAGUAACUGCUGGUACCUUGACGGUACCUAACCAGAAAGCCACGGCUAACUCUGUGCCAGCAGCCGCCGUAACAC
rnacentral:rRNA from 1 species